rnacentral:sRNA from 1 species
AAUUUUCUGCGAGAGGGAUAGGAAGGGCGCGCAUGCGGUCGCUCUUUGCGACCGAAGCCCUGGAUAGCCCGGCCCCAU